CGGCCAAGGGGCCCAAGCCGGAGAAGCCCCCGACCAAGGGCCACGGCCACAAGCCGGAGAAGCCGCCCAAGGAGCACAAGCCGACUCCGCCCACCUACACCCCGAGCCCCAAGCCCACGCCGCCGCCGGCUACUCCCAAGCCGACGCCGCCCACCUACACGCCGAGCCCUAAGCCCAAGUCGCCGGUCUACCCUCCCCCGCCGAAAGCCAGUACUCCUCCGACCUACACCCCGAGCCCCAAGCCUCCGGCGACCAAGCCGCCUACCUACCCGACCCCCAAGCCACCAGCUACCAAGCCUCCGACACCUCCUGUGUACACUCCGAGCCCCAAACCACCGGUUACAAAGCCUCCUACACCCAAGCCGACCCCGCCGGUGUACACGCCGAACCCCAAGCCACCGGUUACCAAGCCUCCGACACACACGCCGAGCCCCAAGCCUCCGACAUCCAAGCCGACUCCGCCGGUGUACACACCGAGCCCCAAGCCACCGAAGCCGUCCCCGCCGACGUACACGCCGACCCCGAAGCCACCGGCUACCAAGCCGCCCACCUCAACUCCGACGCACCCUAAGCCGACGCCGCACACGCCUAUCCCCAAGCCCACGCCGCCAACCUACAAGCCGGCACCGAAGCCGACGCCGCCGGCGCCCACCCCGCCGACAUACACGCCGCCGGUGUCGCACACCCCCAGCUCGCCGCCGCCGCCGC
rnacentral:lncRNA from 1 species